rnacentral:rRNA from 1 species
GUGGGGAAUAUUGGACAAUGGGGGGAACCCUGAUCCAGCCAUGCCGCGUGUGUGAAGAAGGCCUUUUGGUUGUAAAGCACUUUAAGCGAGGAGGAGGCUACCGAGAUUAAUACUCUUGGAUAGUGGACGUUACUCGCAGAAUAAGCACCGGCUAACUCUGUGCCAGCAGCCGCGGUAAUACAGAGGGUGCAAGCGUUAAUCGGAUUUACUGGGCGUAAAGCGCGCGUAGGUGGCCAAGUAAGUCAAAUGUGAAAUCCCCGAGCUUAACUUGGGAAUUGCAUUCGAUACUGGUUGGCUAGAGUAUGGGAGAGGAUGGUAGAAUUCCAGGUGUAGCGGUGAAAUGCGUAGAGAUCUGGAGGAAUACCGAUGGCGAAGGCAGCCAUCUGGCCUAAUACUGACACUGAGGUGCGAAAGCAUGGGGAGCAAACAGGAUUAGAUACCCUGGUAGUCC